rnacentral:other from 1 species
CAUACCCUGUAACGCCCGUUAGUGAACUGGAAAAUACUCUUGAGCCUAAUAAACUGCCCGGGGGACAGAGUAUUGAUAUUAUUGAGCAGGCCCGCUACCGGCGGGAAGCCUACGAUAUCAUCAAUGUCCCCACCUGAACCUCUGGUUCAAGGGCGAAGGUUCACGACGACGAGUAUGGGGAAUGC